rnacentral:rRNA from 1 species
AUUGAACGCUGGCGGCAGGCUUAACACAUGCAAGUCGAGCGAGCGGCGGACGGGUGAGUAAUUUCUGGGAAACUGCCUGUUGGAGGGGGAUAACUACUGGAAACGGUAGCUAAUACCGCAUACCAUCCGAUGUUCCCAGAUGGGAUUAGCUAGUAGGUGGGGUAAUGGCUCACCUAGGCGACGAUCCCUAGAUGGUCUGAGAGGAUGACCAGGCACACUGGAACUGAGACGAGGUCCAGACUCCUACGGGAGGCAGCGGUGGGGAAUAGUGCACAAUGGGCGCAAGGAUGAUGCAGCCAUGCCGAGUGGGGGAAGAAGGCCGUCGGGUUGGAGAGCACGUUCAGCGAGGAGGCGUUACUCGAAGAAGAAGCACCGGCUAACUCCGUGCCAGCAGCCGCGGUAAUAC